rnacentral:rRNA from 1 species
AGUGAACGCUGGCGGUAGGCCUAACACAUGCAAGUCGAACGGCAGCACAGUAAGAGCUUGCUCUUACGGGUGGCGAGUGGCGGACGGGUGAGGAAUACAUCGGAAUCUACUUUUUCGUGGGGGAUAACGUAGAGAAACUUACGCUAAUACCGCAUACGACCUACGGUUGAAAGCAGGGGAUCUUCGGACCUUGCGCGAUUGAAUGAGCCGCUGUCGGAUUAGCUAGUUGGCGGGGUAAAGGCCCACCAAGGCGACGAUCCGUAGCUGGUCUGAGAGGAUGAUCAGCCACACUGGAACUGAGACACGGUCCAGACUCCUACGGGAGGCAGCAGUGGGGAAUAUUGGACAAAGGGCGCAAGCAUGAUCCAGCCAUACCGCGUGGGUGAAGAAGGCCUUCGGGUUGUAAAGCCCUUUUGUUGGGAAAGAAAAGCAGCAGGUUAAUACCCCGCUGUUCUGACGGUACCCAAAGAAUAAGCACCGGCUAACUUCGUG